rnacentral:misc_RNA from 1 species
CAGAGUUCAUGCCCUUCGGGGUAGACCUCCCACCCUGUUUAAUUACUAUUGUUGCUUUGGCAGGUUGCCCUCACCAUGGGGCGUCCGGGCUCGCCCGUGUCGUGCCUGCCAAUAGCCCCCCAAUUCUGAGUUAUAUGUCGUCUGAGUACUAUAUAAUAAGUUA